CAAUAGCGUAUAUUUAAGUUGUUGCAGUUAAAAAGCUCGUAGUUGGAUUUCGGUUAAGAGCGACCGGUCCGCCGUUUGGUGUGCACUGGUUGGUUUUAACUUCCUGUAGAGGACGUGCUCUGGGUUUAACGACCUGGACUCGGAGUCUACGUGGUUACUUUGAAAAAAUUAGAGUGUUCAAAGCGGGCUUACGCUUGAAUAUUUCGGCAUGGAAUAACACUAUAGGACUCCUGUCCUAUUUCGUUGGUCUCGGGACGGGAGUAAUGAUUAAGAGGAACAGUUGGGGGCAUUCGUAUUUCAUUGUCAGAGGUGAAAUUCUUGGAUUUAUGAAAGACGAACUUCUGCGAAAGCAUUUGCCAAGGAUGUUUNCAUUAA
rnacentral:rRNA from 1 species